CAGUCGUGUAGUGGCGGUGUUUUUGUAGUGAUUUUGUUGGGAAGGAGUGUUCUUUACAGCAGAUUGAAAUGUGUGAAUCAUGCCUGUAGCUAUCCAAAGGUGCCAUGCAGUCCUUUUUGGAAACAGGAAUGACCUGCAUCUUCUUCAGAUUAUUUGGAAGUGUUGGAUAUAACAUAAAGAUGAGCAAUUUAAGUGGACAUACUUCAGUAUCCUAUGAAAGUGAUUUUAUACAGUUGACAGAACUUGCGGGAAUAAAAAUGCAACCAGAAAUAAUCAGGAUACUCCUAGAAUUGCUCAGCAUGAACAUUCAUCCCACUUCGAUUUACACUAUUCUACGUCAUCUUUGUGCCCGACAUGGACAGAAGGCACGUGCAGCUGCAGCCUGCCAGAAGCUCGCAAGCAAAAGUAAAAAGUAGAAAGUAAUGUUGUCUGUUGUUCCUAGUUCAGCCCAGUUGUCAUUUAAUAAAAGCAAACCUGAAUAUGAUGUAAAUCUAACAGUGAUUUAUUUACUUCUUGUGUGACAUAGUUGUAAAGUGACGUAUAAAUCAAAUAUAUGCAUAGGUCUCAUCACUCUGAAUUUGUUAAUAGGCAUCACAACUACAGGUAGGAGUUGUAGGAAGCAAACUGGCAACAAAGCACUGUACUGUAUAUAUAUUUAAGGCUUUUUGUGUAUUAUAUCUAUAUCUUUGUUAAUAAAUAAUUGUAAAAAACACA